GAUCAUUCCAUGUCCAGUGAUUUAUAGGGUAAUUCCUGAAAUAUCUCAAUAUUUGUUGUUGUAGACAGAAUGGGCUGCUGCUAAUGCCAGUACCAUCUGUGGAGAUGAUUUUUUAAUUGAAAAGAAUUUUCAGUCUUGAGAGCAGAGAGUUGGAUGAACUCAUCACUGCCCCCUGAGAGAAGAUUAAUGAAAUGAAAACAUAUCGUACCCCUUUAAUACCUGGAGAAGUAAUAAGGAUGCAUCAAGUGACAAUAAAGAGCAUGGUGCGUGGGGGUAAAUUGCUUUAACAUAGCACGGAAAGUCCAUCCAAGAAUUAAAAAUUGCAUUUGCAGUUUUAGAAAGUAUUACAGCAUUAGUGUUCUCUACUAAAACUCCUAACUCCUGAACUUUAACUCUAGAGGUAAAGCUCAUCAUAUUCAGAUUCCUUUGCUCUAUAUGCCACAAACAAUAGUACAUAUUCCCAAAAUAAGCCAAAAGAAUAUUGAAGGCUUACGGACCUAUAACAGAAUUUUGAAACCAAAUGACUGCAUGAAUAUUAAUCCUCUCCUGAGCCAAUGCAAGUGAUGUUACUUUUGAAUGGAUCACCCAAGUAAAAAAACAGAUCAGCAUGAACGAGAAGGACGUCAUCAUCCCCACCUGAACCCCAAGCUAUGGUUUCUCCUGGUCAACACAGCAGGUUUAAACAAGUUAGACUUAAACAAGUUAGCACAGUUGGAAAAAGAAUAUAAUGCUCCAGAAGACAGGUACAGUUUGAGACUGUACACUUCUCAUCAGUGAACCACAGACUGGAGCAGAUACAGAAUUGAAGUAUUCAUUUAACUUUACUGUUUGGUGACAUUAAUGCAGAUACAAACAACUUGUCUGGAUUUCAGUGAUGAAUUGAAAGUAAUGAUGCCAGUGAUUUGGGUGCAAUCUUUGGAGAUUCUUUUCUAGAGCAGAGAAAUAUGAACAUGGGAUUUUAAAUUUCCAAAACACGUCCUUACUACACUGAUUGAAUUAAUGGGACAACUGUGUUCCCUGCGUGAUGUUUUUCUAUGGGUUCAGUCUCUGCCUGUGUUUAGAAGCUGCAUCAAGCACUGGAAGAAGAAAGAAGGUGGAGUUAUUUAAUAAAAAACAACAACAGAUAAAAAAACAAACAGUAGUGGCAGAGACAGCAUUAGUAAAGACCGUAGUUAUUCCUUUCAGACUGGUUACAGCAAUGAAGGUGUACAGCAGUGAUGCCUUUAACAAAGCAAGCUGUUCUCAGUUAUUUCCAUUCCAGUGCUGCAAAGGAUUGCAUGGAUGUAGGUUUUCUCUGUUAGCUGAUACCCCCCACUCCUACACACCCUCUCAGCAUGCUAACAUUGCUACAGCUGAGCUUGCAAGGCUGAAGGUGAGAUGUGACUGUGCUCUUGAAUUUGCAGCAUCCCGCAUACAUAGACAGUCCCCUUGUUAGUCCUUUCUAGAGAAUGGGCAUUUGUCCUUUUUCAUCUUGUGUCACUCGUUUCACCUUUGCAUACCACUCUGCAGAGCACUCAUCAUAAGGCUGGAUAUGUGGAGUCACUGCUGGUACUCAGGAGAUGCCAUCAAGGUGCAGAGGCUGUGAGCAAUGACAGGAAAUCUCUGGAGAAACAAGAGGUGCUAUUAGACAGCCACAGUGAUUUGGUGACACACAUCUUUGCCUCCUCUGACAGAACAGUUCUACAUCUCCAUCUCUGUUUGCCACGCUGCGUGCACAUGCACAGUGGGUACAAAGAGCAACCCAGACCUUGAAGCCUGCAACUUUUCUUCCUCUUCUAGUCCCUCCUGAACACUCAUCUCUCACUAAGGCAUGUAUGAAAUGACAGGCAGGUAACAGCUCAGCAGGUGGAAGCCACCCAGGAAUGGCCUACAAGGGGCCUUCUCUGCUGGCGCGCCGCACUCCUCCAGUUCCCUGCUCAACACCCCAGCUGCAUUGCAGAGGCUUUCACAGCUCUGAGCCGAGCCUCUGCCUUAUGUUCAUGUUUCCAUGCAGAGCAAGAGCAGUGCUCAGGAGCUGGGAAGCCCUGAUGAGAUAUUGACAUUCCCUGUGCCCUGGGAGUCUCUCUGGUGCCGUGGGUAUGAUAAUACAUAGAGACCCACAGGGCUCCAUGCAGGGUAGCAGCAGUAGGAAGGAUCGUCCACAGAAAUCACCCUUGUGACCACCAUAAAUGUUGAAUAAUGGUUUAAACCAACAAAAAAAUACAUAUAUUUUAGUAGAUGGCAAGUUCUGUUAGUAAUAAAUAUUUCAGUGUUCAACCCUCUACACAGACCAUUUUUAAAGCCCCACGGGUUUAAUGCUCUACAGUCUGAUUCUUUUUUUUUUUUUUUUUUUUUUUUUUAAGGCUAUAAAUGGCAACUAUUUCAAUGUCUGUGGUAAAUACAAUUCUCUGAACCUUAAAAAAAAAAUUGCAGGUGACAGGUCUUUAAGACCUGGUAUUUACAGCUUGCUGCUCUGAAGGAAAACAUGGUCCUAAAUUUAUUUCAUUUCCCUGUUUUCUGAAAGAGAGCAGUGAAAGGAAAGGAAGAGGGAAGGAACUGAAAAAUGUUUCCAGGGAAUUACUCAAUUUUAUUAAGUUGUUGUUGUGUGCUUUACUUAAGAAGCCAACUUAAAAGUUAUAGGUGGCCUAGAAAUGGAUGAUGUGAUACAAUGGGAAAUUGUUCAAAUUCAACACAGCCGAAGGAUACUCUGGUACUUGGCAGGUAUUUUGACACUUUCAGAUACUUUCCCCCCCUCUUUUUCUUAUGCAAUAUUUAAUCUUAUUGUAACAUUUGUUCCCAUUUCAUUCUGCUUGUCAUUGCCACCUUGCCAGUUGUGUCUUUGGAGACUACAUUUUAAGCGGGAAUUUCUAUAUUCAG
ensembl:lncRNA